GAACAGGAUGAUGUGGACCUUGGGAGCAAAGAGGCAGCCCAGCACGACCGACCCACUCAGACUGACAGAGAUACACAUGGUGGUGGUUUGUACCUGGAGGAUGAAAAAGAGUCAUGAUGAAGUUACAGAUAUAACACAACAGAGGUCCCCAGCUAGAAUCAAACAGGGCUGAUCCAGCUCAGAAACAAGGAUUUCAAACAACCAAACAGUGUUAAAUUAACUUCACUCAUGUGGAAUCAUAUAAGCAACAGCAGAGUGUUGAGGACCAUUUUGCUGUUCAAUAUAUAAAAAAGAAAUGAUAAAACCAAUUUUCAAAAUUUAGAAUCAAAGCCAGGAGGAAGGAGGGCGCUAUCAGCUGGGACUGCAGAAGAGAGGUGUUAAAUGAUCUGUUUAUUUUUCUGUCAAUCAAAAGGCCAACCCUUAUUCCUCUUUCCCCUCACUCUGCCCACAUCUUUACAGCUAUACCUGCCAUUCAACUUCUUCUUCAUUUCUAAUGUUCCUGCAGCUUUCUUUUUGUUAUUCUUGGAUAACAGGAUACAGCUCUGCCUCGUCUGGCAGGUGAA